rnacentral:lncRNA from 1 species
AGAAUUGGAAGGAGAUCGGUAGAGGCUUAAAUGAAGGAAACUUUCAGAUCUUCACUCAUGAUCAUGAAGCAACAGCAACUUAAAUGAAGGACACUUACAGAGAAUUGACAGAUGGGGUAGCUGGGCCAGCCAUGGCGGCUGGAUGUAUCAGAUAUGAUUGAGACUCUUUGCCAUGCACUCCGGGAUUCUAUAUAGUUCAAUCUUAAGGUUGAAAUGAAUUGAAACUAUCAUGUUCAUGCUUCUAAUUCAUUUUCAUUCUAACCAACAUGGGGAAAAUUUGCGGUUUUUUCAUCCUGAUGCAGGUAACGAAAGCAAAGUUGAACUGUCAAGAUUUAUGACAGGACUGUUGUCACAAGUUAUGCUUCCUAGUCCAUAGACAACAUUUGGACCAAAUUUACAGUUGUUUUUUGAGCACCUGUUUUUGAUUUUAACAUUGGAGAGAAUUGUCCCUAGGGAUUAACUAAUCAAAAGUUUUCAGGAUCCAAUACCACUGGAAUUCGGCUAACUGGAGAAAUUAUGAAAAGGAAAGCUUGUAAAAUCAAAAGGAAAGUCUCACUUAUUUAUUUAUUAUUUAUGUGACUUUGAUUUAGAUAUGUUUUCCAUCUACCCG